rnacentral:lncRNA from 13 species
AUGACGAUAACCACGCUACGACCAGACAGAUUCUACAAAGUACAAGGCCGAUCUCUGCUGGGCAAACCAGUCUUCCAUCUUCGACCCAUCUAUCGAAGCGCAGCUCAGGGGAUGACAGACAGUGGGAUUUCUGUGUCUCACAAAUGGCAUGGAGACCACCUAUCUAUCACCUGUCGUCUCAUGGGGGACAAAGACACUGUUUCUCAGAUCAACUGGGAGAUGACCAGCAGUUCGAACCACACCACCACCAGAUUGAAACUGGGCAUCUUCCACCCCGUGUUUGGUACCUACGUGGUCCCGGAGUACAACGAUACUGUGGAGAUCCAGGGAAACGCCUCCAGCGGCCAUUACACGCUCAGGCUGAGAGGUAGCACUGUGUUGGAGGAGAGUCAGUUCUGCUGUAAAUUCAUGACCUUUCCCUCUGGAGGGCUGGAGCACUGUACAAAUACCAGGAUUAAUGAAAGCACAGAGGAGGCCCAGGUGUCAGAAGGCCCACAGGGUUUACUAGAGGAGAGACAAGUGGAGCAGUGGGCUCUGCUAGUAAUGGGACCUACCAUCUGUCUCCUCAGUAUCGCGAUCUCUCUCUACUACUGCUUGAAGUAUUGCUGCAGACACUGCUGCCGCAGGAGGCGAGUGUUCGAGGUGGAGACUUAUCUGACAGACCAGCACACAGACUCGGAGGUAAAGUUAUUCUGUCAGCUAUUCUUCCAACUCAACAUCCCCUACAUACCUUUUUGACACAGUGGAAAAUAAAUGAAGUAUCGCAAGGCAAUUCUAACGCCAUUGAUGUAACUGAAAGUAGGCUACCUUGGACCAUUGCCAAAAUACAUUGGCCUAACUUCAUCUAAUGUAGGCUCCCUAAUCACAAGCCUUUCUAGAGUCAUAGAGAUAAAGCAUGUCCUCUCUCUAUGGCUAGAGUGACCCCUGUAACUAUAGCAACCUACGUUACCAUGAAAACCCACAGGGCACCGUCACCACGGUUAUCGCCAUGGUUUCCUGUUGUUCACUGUGAAUGACGUACAUGUGGUUAGACGUCUCGGUCAUCGCUCUGCCGUUUCUCUCUCACACACACACACAAAUACACACUGGUAAAUGCGGUUUGAUGUCUCGGCCAUCGCUCAUAAGUUUCCCACACUUUUUAUUUUUUAUUUUAUUUUUAUUUCACCUUUAUUUAACCAGGUAGGCCAGUUGAGAACAAGUUCUCAUUUACAACAGCAACCUGGCUAAGAUAAAGCAAGAGCAGUGCGACACAAACAACAACACAGAGUUCCAAAUUAAAUAAACAAAUAAACACAUAAACAAAUAAAUAAACACAAUAGAAAAGUCUAUAUACAGUGUGUGCAAAUGAAGUAAGAUUAGGCCGUAGUGGCGAAAUAAUUACAAUUUAGCAAUUAAACACUGGAGUGAUAGAUGUACAGAAGAUGAAAGUGCAAGUAGAGAUACUUGGGUGCAAAGGAGCAAAAAAAAAAAUAUAUAUAUAUAAAAUAAAUAACAAUAUGGGGAUGAGGUAGUUAGAUGGGCUAUUUACAGAUGGGCUAUGUACAGGUGCAAUGAUCUGUAAGCUGCUCUGAUAGCUGAUGCUUAAAGUUAGUGAGGGAGAUAUGAGUCUCCAGCUUUAGUGAUUUUUGCAAUUCGUUCCAGUCAUUGGCAGCAGAGAACUGGAAGGAAAGUCAGCCAAAGGAGGAUUUGACUUUGGGGGUGACCAGUGAAAUAUACCUGCUGGAGUGCGUGCUACGGGUGGGUGCUGCUAUGGUGACCAGUGAGCUGAGAUAAGGCGGGGCUUUACCUAGGGGGCCAGCCAACGAGCGCAUACAGGUCACAGUGGUGGGUAGUAUAUGGGGCUUUGUUGACAAAACGGAUGGCACUGUGAUAGACUGCAUCCAAUUUGUUGAGUAGAGUGUUGGAGGCUAUUUUGUAAAUGACAUCACCGAAGUCAAGGAUCGAUAGGAUAGUCAGUUUUACGAGGGUAUGUUUGGCAGCAUGAGUGAAGGAUGCUUUGUUGCGAAAUAGGUAGCCAGUUCUAGAUUUAAUUUUGGAUUGGAGAUGCUUAAUAUGAGUCUGGUAGGAGAGUUUACAGUCUAACCAGACACCUAGGUAUUUGUAGUUGUCCACAUAUUCUAAGUCAGAACUGUCCAGAGUAGUGAUGCUGAACGGGCGGGCAGGUGCGGGCAGCGAUCGGUUGAAGAGCAUGCAUUUAGUUUUACUUGCAUUUAAGAGCAGUUGGAGGCCACGGAAGGAGUGUUGUAUGGCAUUGAAGCUCGUCUGGAGGUUAGUUAGCACAGUGUCCAAUGAAGGGCCAGAGGUAUAUAGAAUGGUGUCGUCUGCGUAGAGGUGGAUCAGAGAAUCACCAGCCGCAAGAGCGACAUCAUUGAUGUAUACAGAGAAAAGAGUCGGCCCGAGAAUUGAAUCCUGUGGCACCCCCAAAGAGACUGCCAGAGGUCCGGACAACAGGACCAAUUAUUUUGAAUAGUGUUUACACAUGAUAGAAUAGGAUAAAAGGACAACUGGAACAUUACUUAUUAUUAUUAUUUUCAAAACAACAUGCAUAUGACCUAGUCUCUCUUGCCCCCCCC